GCGUGCUUACACAUGCAAGUCGAGCGAUGAAGCACCUUCGGGUGUGAAUUAGCGGCGAACGGGUGAGGAACACGUGAGAAAUCUGCCUUCAACACUGGGAUAACUCCGGGAAACCGGGGCUAAUACCGGAUAUGAAAUCUGCGGGCAUCCGCGGAUUUGGAAAGUUUUUCGGUUGAAGAUGAUCUCGCGGCCUAUCAGCUUGUUGGUGAGGUAAUGGCUCACCAAGGCGACGACGGGUAGCCGGCCUGAGAGGGCGACCGGCCACACUGGGACUGAGACACGGCCCAGACUCCUACGGGAGGCAGCAGUGGGGAAUAUUGGGCAAUGGAGGAAACUCUGACCCAGCGACGCCGCGUGCGGGAUGAAGGCCUUCGGGUUGUAAACCGCUUUCAGCAGGGAAGAAGCGAAAGUGACGGUACCUGCAGAAGAAGCACCGGCUAACUAUGUGCCAGCAGCCGCGGUNAAUACAUAGGGUGCAAGCGUUGUCCGGGAAUUAUUGGGCGUAAAGAGCUCGUAGGUGGUUCGUCACGUCGGAUGUGAAACUCUGGGGCUUAACCCCAGACCUGCAUUCGAUACGGGCGAGCUUGAGUAUGGNUAGGGGAGUCUGGAAUUCCUGGUGUAGCGGUGGAAUGCGCAGAU
rnacentral:rRNA from 1 species